AUGAGCUCCUCCGGCGCCCGCGGUGUCCGUCGAGAGUACGGCCGGACCUAUGUGGUGAGGCCCAAGGGGAGGCACCUGGCCACCAUUGUCUGGCUCCACGGCAUAGGCGACAACGGAAACAGCUGGUCCCAGGUGCUGGGCAAUCUCCCGUUGGAUAAUGUCAAAUGGAUUUGCCCUACUGCGCCAACGCGGCCCGUAGCGGCCUUCGGUGGAUUCCCAUGUACUGCAUGGUUCGAUGUGGAGGAGACUUCGGUUGACGGCCCCGACGACGUCCAAGGGCUGGACGCAUCCGCCGCACACAUAGCAAACCUGCUAUCGUCCGAGCCCUCUGAUGUGAGGCUUGGGAUAGGCGGUUUCAGCAUGGGAGCCGCCACUGCGCUCCACUCUGCCGCAUGUUAUGCUCAUGGAAGGUUCUCAAACGGUGUUGCCUACCCUAUUACCCUCAGCGCUAUCAUUGGGUUGAGCGGCUGGCUUCCCUGCUCCAGGACCCUGAGGACCAAGAUUGAGAGCUCACAGACUGCUUUCAGGAGGGCUGCUGCCUUGCCGAUAAUGCUUGGCCAUGGAAGAGGCGACGAGGUAGUCACGUACAGGAACGGCGAGAGGUCGUCCGAGUUUCUGCGGAAUUCGGGCUUUUCGUACCUGAAUUUCAAAGCCUACAACGGACUGGGCCAUCACACCAUCCCUGAGGAAAUGGACGAUGUCUCCAAGUGGCUCAGGGCAAGGCUCGGGCUUGAUCGCUCUUGCGGCUAA
rnacentral:rRNA from 1 species